rnacentral:rRNA from 1 species
CUACGUGCCAGCAGCCGCGGUAAUACGUAGGGCGCGAGCGUUGUCCGGAAUUAUUGGGCGUAAAGGGCUUGUAGGCGGUUGGUCGCGUCUGCCGUGAAAUCCUCUGGCUUAACUGGGGGCGUGCGGUGGGUACGGGCUGACUUGAGUGCGGUAGGGGAGACUGGAACUCCUGGUGUAGCGGUGGAAUGCGCAGAUAUCAGGAAGAACACCGGUGGCGAAGGCGGGUCUCUGGGCCGUUACUGACGCUGAGGAGCGAAAGCGUGGGGAGCGAACAGGAUUAGAUACCCUGGUAGUCCAUGCCGUAAACGUUGGGCACUAGGUGUAGGAGGUAUCGACCCCUUCUGUGCCGGAGUUAACGCAAUAAGUACCCCGCCUGGGGAGUACGACCGCAAGGUUGAAACUCAAAGGAAUUGACGGGGGCCCGCACAAGCGGUGGAGUAUGUGGUUUAAUUCGACGCAACGCGAAGAACCUUACCAGGUCUUGACAU